UACGUAGGGUGCAAGCGUUAAUCGGAAUUACUGGGCGUAAAGGGUGCGCAGGUGGGUUUGCAAGUUCGAUGUGAAAGCCCCGGGCUUAACCCGGGAAUGGCAUUGGAUACUGCAGAUCUGGAGGAUUGGAGGGGGGACUGGAAUUCUUGGUGUAGCAGUGAAAUGCGUAGAUAUCAAGAGGAACACCAGUGGCGAAGGCGAGUCCCUGGACAAUACCUGACACUGAGGCACGAAAGCUAGGGGAGCAAACAGG
rnacentral:rRNA from 1 species